GAAGUUAGCCCCUCAAAAAAAUUUUUCUUUCCUAUUUUCUACUUAUUUUCUAUUAAUUCGUUUGUUCAUCAUUUGUUCUUGAUUGUUCACUGUUAAUAAUUGUUUGUUCUGCAUUUAUUUAUUUUAAAAAAAUUAUUAAAAAUAUAUGUACAAGUUAGCCCCUCGAUUGCAAUUUUUAAUAUUUUUUCGUCCUUAAUGACUCGUAAAUAUUCAUUUUCGAUUGUUCUUAUAUAAAACACGUUUGUUCUCUUUCGAAAUUACUCGUUUUUUGUUUAAUUUACUAUUUGUAUUAGUUGAUUAAAUGUAUGCAAAAUAUGGGUACUGCGCAUGCGUCAACUAUAAUGCCUAAACUUUGUACCGUCUACGCGGUUUUAAUCGAGAGAAAAAAAAAACAAAUAUAAAUCCUGAAGGAGCAAUUGAUUGGUAUACAGUUUAAUUAAAAAAAAUUAAAAAUAAAUAUAUGAAAUAAUGUACAUUGGCGUAAAGUUAGACCAAAUACAUUUUUCCAUCCUCCUACCUAUCGUUAUGAAGGUAUAAAAAAGAUAGGGAGUUCACAUAGGUAAUAUAAACAAAUAAGUCAAUAAUAUGUUCAUUAUUUAUCUUUCAAGAGAUAAUGUAGGUAUACAUUAUAAUAACUUUUUUACACAGUCGAAAUUAUAUUCUUAACAUUAGUAAAAUAACAUUUUAAUAUUUUUUUUAUAGGUUAUGUAUUGAAAGUGUUGGAAAAUUAUUUCAUGUCUUAGUUGGAAAACGACAUUGAGAAUUAUAUGCAAUACAAGAUAAUGGGCUCCAUCAAAUGAAUUCGAAUGAAACCAAACUGUUUACCAUCCAAAUUCGAUUGUCGGGCAGAUAGAAAACGAAAAUUCACUCAAAGUGAACCUCGAGCUGCAUUUGUGAAACGGCAAAGACUCACUAUUGUCAAGGAGAUUGAAGAGACGACUAAAAAUGAGAUGUGUUAUAUUAUUAUACCUUUGCCAUCUUGUAGUCAAGAUGUCCAGCCACUUGAAAAUAGGUGUAGUAAUGACAAAGCUAUCCAAGUAGCUCCAGCACAGGAACACAAAGGCAAGGCAAGUGUGUAUUGCCACAUCACCCCUAAAUAUAUCUGAAGCAAGUACAAGUAAACAAUCAGAACCAGCAAAAAGAAAACUGUUGUUCCUGAGGACAAAUUUGACAGCGAUGAGUCAAAUGCACCAGCAACAGAAGGAUCAACAGUUGACUAUGAGUUAUAGAAGAAGAUUAAUUAAUAUUUAUUUAAAUGAAUAUUAAUGAAUAUUAAUUUUAAUUAUCGUGCAAAAUUUGUGGUCAAAACAUAUAUGUGUAUUUUAUAAAUAAAUAUUCAUUCUCAGUA